UGUAGUGGCCGUGCUGACUUGUCAAAGCCUGGUCUCGUCAAAUUUGAAAAGCUAUGCAAAGCCGGGCUUGGUUAGUGCUUGGAUGGGACACCACUGGGAAUACCAGGUGCCACGGUGA
rnacentral:rRNA from 1 species